AUACGUAGGUGGCAAGCGUUGUCCGGAAUUAUUGGGCGUAAAGCGCAUGUAGGCGGUGCCUUAAGUCUGUCGUGAAACUGCGGGGCCUAACCCCGUAUGGCGAUGGAAACUGUGGCACUUGAGUGCAGGAGAGGAAAGGGGAACUCCCAGUGUAGCGGUGAAAUGCGUAGAUAUUGGGAAGAACACCGGUGGCGAAGGCGCCUUUCUGGACUGUGUCUGACGCUGAGAUGCGAAAGCCAGGGUAGCGAACGGGAUUAGAUACCCCGGUAGUCCUGGCCGUAAACGAUGGGUACUAGGUGUGGGAGGUAUCGACCCCUUCCGUGCCGGAGUUAGCGCAAUAAGUACCCCGCCUGGGGAGUACGGCCGCAAGGCUUAAACUCAAAUGAAUUGACGGGG
rnacentral:rRNA from 1 species